rnacentral:rRNA from 1 species
UACGUAGGGUGCAAGCGUUGUCCGGAAUUAUUGGGCGUAAAGAGCUCGUAGGCGGUCUGUCGCGUCUGGUGUGAAAACUCAGGGCUUAACCCUGAGCUUGCAUCGGGUACGGGCAGACUAGAGUGUGCUAGGGGAGACUGGAAUUCCUGGUGUAGCGGUGAAAUGCGCAGAUAUCAGGAGGAACACCAGCGGCGAAGGCGGCGCUCUGGGCCGGUACUGACACUGAGGAGCGAAAGCGUGGGUAGCAAACAGG